rnacentral:rRNA from 1 species
AACAAACGCUGGCGGCGUGCCUAAUACAUGCAAGUCGAACGGGGAAAGCUUUCGGGUGAGUACUAGUGGCGCACGGGUGAGUAACGCGUGGAUAAUCAGCCUUAGAGUGGGGGAUAACUAGUCGAAAGAUUAGCUAAUACCGCAUAAGACCACAAGAACUGCGGUUCAAGGGGUCAAAGGUUUUUCGCUCUAAGAUGAGUCCGCGUAAGAUUAGCUAGUUGGUAGGGUAACGGCCUACCAAGGCGACGAUCUUUAACUGGUCUGAGAGGAUGAUCAGUCACACUGGAACUGAGACACGGUCCAGAAUCCUACGGGAGGCAGCAGUAGGGAAUAUUGCACAAUGGAGGAAACUCUGAUGCAGCGACGCCGCGUGAGUGAUGAAGGCCUUCGGGUCGUAAAGCUCUGUCGCAGGGGAAUAACACAAUGAAGGUACCCUGUAAGAAAGGAUCGGCUAACUUCGUGCCAGCCGCCGCCGUAAGAC